rnacentral:rRNA from 1 species
CCUACGGGUGGCAGCAGUCGAGAAUCAUUCACAAUGGGGGAAACCCUGAUGGUGCGACGCCGCGUGGGGGAAUGAAGGUCUUCGGAUUGUAAACCCCUGUCAUGUGGGAGCAAAUUAAAAAGAUAGUACCACAAGAGGAAGAGACGGCUAACACUGUGCCAGCAGCCGCGGUCAUACAGAGGGCUCAAGCGUUGUUCGGAAUCACUGGGCGUAAAGCGUGCGGAGGCGGUUUCGUAAGUCGUGUGUGAAAGGCGCGGGCUCAACCCGCGGACGGCACAUGAUACUGCGAGACUAGAGUAAUGGAGGGGGAACCGGAAUGCUCGGUGUAGCAGUGAAAUGCGUAGAUAUCGAGAGGAACACUCGUGGCGAAGGCGGGUUCCUGGACCUUAACUGACGCUGAGGCACGAAGGCCAGGGGAGCGAAAGGGAUUAGAUACCCUAGUAGUC